UACGAAGGGGGCGAGCGUUAUUCGGAAUCACUGGGCGUAAAGGGCGCGUAGGCGGCCUGAUAAGUCGGGGGUGAAAGCCUGUGGCUCAACCACAGAAUUGCCUUCGAUACUGUUAGGCUUGAGACCGGAAGAGGUAAGUGGAACUGCGAGUGUAGAGGUGAAAUUCGUAGAUAUUCGCAAGAACACCAGUGGCGAAGGCGGCUUACUGGUCCGGAUCUGACGCUGAGGCGCGAAAGCGUGGGGAGCAAACAGG
rnacentral:rRNA from 1 species